rnacentral:tRNA from 1 species
AUAGGUUCAGUGGUAGAAUUCUCACCUUCAAUGUAGGAGACCCAGGUUUGAUUCCUGGU